AACAAGUCGGUUCAAAGCAGCGCAAAUCAAAGUCCUUCAAUCCCGACAGCAUAGUAAGGUGAGAUUGGAUCAAUGCUUUGCAGAUGCUGCUGUUCCCGGGGCCAAACAACAAUGUAAGUCAAUCACUGGGAGAAAGGAGCCUCGCUGCCGAUUCCCGUGAUUGCAACAGGAAACUUCUUCCUGAAGGUCCAGCAUAUCAAACCAACCGCACAAGGACUGGUUCUUUUUUUUUUUUUUUUUCUCCAAAUCUAUGAUAACCCUGACCUCCGUGUUGGAAUUUAACACCCUUGUCGCCAUCCAUCACAGCUGAUGUUGCUGCGAAACAACACUGGAUGUUAUUUCCUCCCUCUGGUAGCGCCGCUUUGGAUGUGCCUUGCCCUUUUAUCUGUGUAAUCACCAGUCACCAUGCUGAGAUCAGACGCACUGUCCGAGUGACUCCAUUCACUGUGCCUGAAAGAAAAAAAAAUAAUAAAACAAAUCUGAGGCCAU